rnacentral:tRNA from 1 species
UCUAAUGUGGCAGACAGUAAUGCAACGGAUUUAAGCUCCGUUCAUGAGAGUUAAAAUCUCUUCUUUAGAA